GGUUCGAUGGCUCAGAUUGAACGCUGGCAGGAUGCUUACACAUGCAAGUCGAACGGCAGCACGGACUUCGGUCUGGUGGCAGCGUUACUGGCGAACGGGUGCGAGUAAUGUAUCGGAACGUGCCUGAUAGCGGGGAUAACUACGUGGCGUAGCUAAUACCACCCAUACGCCCUUCAGGGAAAGCGGGGGACCUUCAGACUCGCACUAUUAGAGCGGCCGAUAUCGGAUUAGGUAGUUGGUGGGGUAACGGCUCACCAAGGCGACGAUCCGUAGCUGGUUUGAGGAGACAUUUCCAACCACUGGGACGGGGCGGCCAGACUCCUACGGGAGAGCAGCAGUACAAUUUUGGACAAUGGGGGAAACCCUGAUCCAGCCAUCCCGCGUGUGCGAUGAAGGCCUUCAGUUCGCAAAGCACUUUUUGAGCGGAAAGAAACGGCACGGGAUAAUACCCCGUGCGGCGGCUGACUACCACCCGGAAGCCGCUUUGGCCAACUUCCGAUGCCAGCAACCGCGGUAAUACGUAGGGUGCAGCGUUAAUCGGAAUUACUGGGCGUAAAGCGUGCGCAGGGCGGUUCGGAAGAAGAUGUGAAAUCCCAGGCUUAACUUUGGAACUGCAUUUUUAACUACCGAGCUAGAGUGUGUCAGAGGUGGACCCACGCGAUGUAGCAGUGAAAUGCGUAGAUAUGCGGAGGAACACGGAUGGCGAGGCAACCUCCUGGGAUAACACUGACGCUCAUGCACGAAAAGCGUGGAACAACAGGAUUAGAUACCCUGGUAAUGAUCCACGCCCACCGACGAUAUCAACUAGCUGUUGGGGCCUUCGGGCCUUGGUAGCGCAGCUAACGUGAAGUUGACCGCCUGGGAAAUACGGUCGCGAAUUAAAACUCUGAAAAAUUGACGGGGAUUACUUUUAAGCGGUGGAUGGUGUGGAUUAAUUCGAUGCAACGCGAAAAACCUUACCUACCUUGACAUGUCUGGAAUCCCGAAGAGAUUUGGGGUGCUCGCAAGAGAACCGGAACACAGACGCUGCAUGGCUGUCGUCAGCUCGUGUCGUGAGAUGUUGGGUUAAGUCCGCAACGAGCGCAACCCUUGUCAUUAGUUGCUACGAAAGACGCUCUAAUGAGACUGCCGGUGACAAACCGGGGAAGGUGGGGAUGACGUCAAGUCCUCAUGGCCCUUAUGGGUGAACCACACGUCAUACAAUGGUCGGGACAGAGGUCGCCAACCCGCGAGGAGGCCAAUCCAGAGCCCGAUCGUGGUGAGGAUCGCAGUCUGCAACUCGACUGCGUGAAGUCGGAAUCGCUAGUAAUCGCGGAUCAGCAUGUCGCGGUGAAUACGUUCCCCGGGUCUUGUACACACCGCCCGUACCACACCAUGGGAGUGGGUUUUACCAGAAGUAGUUAGCCUAACCGUAAAGGAGGGCGAUUACCACGGUAGGAUUCAUGACUGGGGUGAAGUCGUAACAAGGUAA
rnacentral:rRNA from 1 species